rnacentral:rRNA from 1 species
AACGAACGCUGGCGGCAGGCUUAACACAUGCAAGUCGAGCGCCCCGCAAGGGGAGCGGCAGACGGGUGAGUAACGCGUGGGAAUCUACCCAUCUCUACGGAACAACGCAUGGAAACGGGUGCUAAUACCGUAUACGUCCUUCGGGAGAAAGAUUUAUCGGAGAUGGAUGAGCCCGCGUUGGAUUAGCUAGUUGGGGGGGUUAAGGCCGACCAAGGCGACGAUCCAUAGCUGGUCUGAGAGGAUGAUCAGCCACACUGGGACUGAGACACGGCCCGGAAUCCUACGGGGGGCAGCAGUGGUGAAUAUUGGAGCAUGGGCGCAAGCCUGAUCCGGCCAUGCCGGGUGAGUGAUGAGGGCCCUAGGGUUGUAAAGCUCUUUCGCCGGUGAAGAUAAUGACGGUAACCGGCGAAGAAGCCCCGGCUAACUUCGUGCCAGCAGCCGCCGUAAUAC